GAGUUAUGAGGAAAUUCUUGUGAUUGAUGGGUCAAUCACUCUCAUCUUCUAGUUAGAUGGAAUAAUCUGCAUCUGAGCUC